UACGGGGGGGGCAAGCGUUGUUCGGAAUUACUGGGCGUAAAGGGCUCGUAGGCGGCCAACUAAGUCAGAUGUGAAAUCCCUCGGCUUAACCGGGGAACUGCGUCUGAUACUGGAUGGCUUGAGAUUGGGAGAGGGACGCGGAAUUCCAGGUGUAGCGGUGAAAUGCGCAGAUAUCAGGAGGAACACCGGUGGCGAAGGCGGGUCUCUGGGCAACAACUGACGCUGAGGAGCGAAAGCCAGGGGAGCGAACGGG
rnacentral:rRNA from 1 species